GUUUGGUUAGGAUUUGUCUAAGAUUUGAUUAAGACUUAUUUAGGAUUUAUUAGAAUUUGACUAGGAUUGUUUAGGAUUUGGUUAAGAUUUGUUUAUGAUUUGAUUAGGAUUUAUCUAGGAUUUGUUUAGGAUUUGGUUAGGAAUUAUUUAGGAUUUGUCUAGAAUUUGUUUAGAAUUUAGUUAGGACUUAUUUAGAAUUUGUCUACAAUUUGACUAGAGUUGUUUAGGAUUUGGUUAGGAUUUAUUUAGGGUUUGUUUAGAAUUUGGUUAAGGCUUAUUUGGAAUUUUUCUAGAGUUUGAUUAGAGUUGUUUAGGACUUGCUUAAGAUUUAUUUAAGAUUUGAUUAGGAUUUGUCUAAGAUUUAUUUAGGAUUUGAUUAGGAUUUGUCUAGAAUUUGUUUAGGAUUUGAUUAGAGCUUGUUUAAGAUUUAUCUAGAAUUUAUUUAAGAUUUGAUUAAGAUUUGAUUAAGGUUUGAUUAAGAUUUUAUUAGGAUUUAAUUAAGAUUUUUAUUUUCAUAUUUUUAUUUAUAUAUACAUAUAUGUAUGUAUAUUUUUUUUAAAUUUCUAUGUUAUUUCUUUAUAAUUUCUUUGAAGGAUCUCUAAGAAUUCUUU
rnacentral:lncRNA from 1 species